rnacentral:rRNA from 1 species
AUUGAACGCUGGCGGCAGGCCUAACACAUGCAAGUCUAACGAGUGGCGGACGGGUGAGUAAUGUCUGGGAAACUGCCUGAUGGAAGGGGAUAACUACUGGAAACGGUAGCUAAUACCGCAUACCAUCAGAUGUGCCCAGAUGGGAUUAGCUCGUUGGUGGGGUAAAGGCUCACCAGGGCGACGCUCCCUAGCUGGUCUGAGAGGAUGACCAGCAACAAUGGAACUGAGCCACGGUCCAGACUCCUCCGUGAGGCAGCAGUGGGGAUGAGUGCACAAUGGGCUCAAGCCUGAUGCAGCCAUGCCGCGUGUAGGAAGAAGGCCUUCGGGUUGUAAAGUACUUUCAGCGGGGAGGCGUUACCCGCAGAAGAAGCACCGGCUAACUCCGUGCCAGCCGCCGCUGUAAUAC